rnacentral:RNase_P_RNA from 1 species
AAUGCAAACUGUUCUAUCGCUGUUCACUUGUUGGAGAGAGGAAAGUCCGGGCAACGCAGAGCAUCUUGCUUCCUAACGGGAAGGGGUUUAGGAAUGAAGACCUAAAUCACGGAAAGUGCCGCAGAGAAUAUACCGCCACGAUUUAUCGGGGUAAGGGUGAAAACGUGAGGUAAGAGCUCACGAGCUUUGUUAGUGAUAACAAGGUUGGUAAACCCCAGGAGUUGAAAGACCAAAUAGGCUAACGCACGUAGGGCUGCUCGUCCGAUGUUAGUGGGUAGGUCGUUAGAGGUAAGUGGCGACGCUUACAGUAGAUUAAUGAUAGAAACCGAUUUAUCGGAUACAGAACCCGGCUUACAGGUUUGCAUUUUUA